rnacentral:rRNA from 1 species
GACGAACGCUGGCGGCGUGCUUAACACAUGCAAGUCGAACGGAAAGGCUCCAGCUUGCUGGAGUACUCGAGUGGCGAACGGGUGAGUAACACGUGGGUAAUCUGCCCUGCACUCUGGGAUAAGCCUGGGAAACUGGGUCUAAUACUGGAUAUGACCUUUCUCCUUAUGGGGUUUGGUGGAAAGUUUUUCGGUGUAGGAUGAGCCCACGGCCUAUCAGCUUGUUGGUGGGGUGAUGGCCUACCAAGGCGACGACGGGUAGCCGGCCUGAGAGGGUGAUCGGCCACAUUGGGACUGAGAUACGGCCCAGACUCCUACGGGAGGCAGCAGUGGGGAAUAUUGCACAAUGGGCGGAAGCCUGAUGCAGCGACGCCGCGUGAGGGAUGACGGCCUUCGGGUUGUAAACCUCUUUCAGCAGGGACGAAGCGUAAGUGACGGUACCUGCAGAAGAAGCACCGGCUAACUACGUG